UGGGGAAUAUUGGACAAUGGGCGCAAGCCUGAUCCAGCCAUGCCGCGUGAGUGAUGAAGGCCCUAGGGUUGUAAAGCUCUUUCACCGGUGAAGAUAAUGACGGUAACCGGAGAAGAAGCCCCGGCUAACUUCGUGCCAGCAGCCGCGGUAAUACGAAGGGGGCUAGCGUUGUUCGGAUUUACUGGGCGUAAAGCGCACGUAGGCGGACUAUUAAGUCAGGGGUGAAAUCCCGGGGCUCAACCCCGGAACUGCCUUUGAUACUGGUAGUGUUGAGUUCGAGAGAGGUGAGUGGAAUUCCGAGUGUAGAGGUGAAAUUCGUAGAUAUUCGGAGGAACACCAGUGGCGAAGGCGGCUCACUGGCUCGAUACUGACGCUGAGGUGCGAAAGCGUGGGGAGCAAACAGG
rnacentral:rRNA from 1 species